rnacentral:rRNA from 1 species
CAGGCCUAACACAUGCAAGUCGAACGAGAACGGAUUAUAGCUUGCUAUAAUUGUCAGCUAAGUGGCGCACGGGUGAGUAAUAUAUAGAUAACCUGCCCUCUAGAAAGGAAUAACAGUUGGAAACGACUGCUAAUGCCCUAUAUGCCUUUAAUACAUAAGUAUGCAAGGGAAACGCUUUAGUGCUAGAGGAUGGGUCUGUAUGGUAUCAGCCUGUUGGUGAGGUAAUGGCUCACCAAGGCUAUGACGCCUAACUGGUUUGAGAGGAUGAUCAGUCACACUGGAACUGAGACACGGUCCAGACUCCUACGGGAGGCAGCAGUGGGGAAUAUUGCACAAUGGACGAAAGUCUGAUGCAGCAACGCCGCGUGGAGGAUGACACAUUUCGGUGCGUAAACUCCUUUUAUAUGGGAAGUAAUGACGGUACCAUAUGAAUAAGCACCGGCUAACUCCGUGCCAGCAGCCGCGGUAAUACGGAGGGUGCAAGCGUUACUCGGAAUCACUGGGCGUAAAGAGCGUGUAGGCGGGUAUAUAGGUCAGAAGUGAAAUCCAAUAGCUUAACUAUUGAACUGCUUUUGAAACUGUGUACCUAGAAUGUGGGAGAGGUAGAUGGAAUUUCUGGUGUAGGGGUAAAAUCCGUAGAGAUCAGAAGGAAUACCGAUUGCGAAGGCGAUCUACUGGAACAUUAUUGACGCUGAGACGCGAAAGCGUGGGGAGCAAACAGGAUUAGAUACCCUGGUAGUCCACGCCCUAAACGAUGCACACUAGUUGUUGUGAGGCUAGACCUUGCAGUAAUGCAGUUAACACAUUAAGUGUGCCGCCUGGGGAGUACGGUCGCAAGAUUAAAACUCAA